CCCCUAUCCUUAGUUGCCAGCACGUUAUGGGUGGGGACUCUAAGGAGACUGCCUGGGAUAACCAGGAGGAAGGUGGGGAUGAUGUCAAGUCAGUAUGUCCCUUAUGUCCAGGGCUACACACGUGUUACAAUGGUUGGUACAAAGGGCUAGCGAACCGCGAGGUGGAGCCAAUCCUCAAAACCAAUCUCAGUUCGGAUUGGAGUCUGCAAUUCGACUCCAUGAAGCAGGAAUCGCUAGUAAUCGUGGAUCAGAACGCCACGGUGAAUACGUUCCCGGGUCUUGUACACACCGCCCGUCACGCCAUGGAAGUCAGUAUUACCCGAAUCGGGUGGCCUAACCUUCGGGAGGGAGCUCGKUAAGGUAAGACUGGUAACUGGGGCGAAGUGGUAACAAGGUA
rnacentral:rRNA from 1 species